GAUGAACGCUGACAGAAUGCUUAACACAUGCAAGUCUACUUGAUUUAUGGUUUCGGCCGUAAUGAUGGUGGCGGACGGGUGAGUAACGCGUAAAGAAUCUGCCCUUUAGACUGGGAUAACAGUUGGAAACGACUGCUAAUACCGGAUAUUAUGGAACCAUCGCAUGAUGGAAUCAUGAAAGCUAUAUGCGCUAGAGGAGGACUUUGCGUCCCAUUAGCUAGUUGGUGAGGUAACGGCUCACCAAGGCGACGAUGGGUAGCCGGCCUGAGAGGGUGAUCGGCCACAAGGGAACUGAGACACGGUCCUUACUCCUACGGGAGGCAGCAGUGGGGAAUAUUGGACAAUGGGCCACAAGCCUGAUCCAGCAAUUCUGUGUGCACGAUGAAGGUCUUCGGAUUGUAAAGUGCUUUCAGUAGGGAAGAAUAAAUGACGGUACCUACAGAAGAAGCGACGGCUAAAUAUGUGCCAGCCGCCGCCGUAAAAC
rnacentral:rRNA from 1 species